rnacentral:rRNA from 1 species
AAGCCAGACUCCUACGGGAGGCAGCAGUGGGGGAUAUUGCACAAUGGGGGGAACCCUGAUGCAGCGACGCCGCGUGGGUGAAGAAGUAUUUCGGUAUGUAAAGCCCUAUCGGCAGGGAAGAAAUUGGACGGUACCUGACUAAGAAGCCCCGGCUAACUACGUGCCAGCAGCCGCGGGAAUACGUAGGGGGCAAGCGUUAUCCGGAUUCACUGGGUGUAAAGGGAGCGUAGACGGCCAUGCAAGCCUGGAGUGAAAGCCCGGGGCCCAACCCCGGGACUGCUCUGGGAACUGUGCGGCUGGAGUGCGGGAGGGGCAGGCGGAAUUCCUGGUGUAGCGGUGAAAUGCGUAGAUAUCAGGAGGAACACCGGCGGCGAAGGCGGCCUGCUGGACCGCGACUGACGUUGAGGCUCGAAAGCGUGGGGAGCAAACAGGAUUAGAUACCCCUGUA